rnacentral:rRNA from 1 species
UUAGAACGUCGUGAGACAGUUCGGUCCCUAUCUGCCGUGGGCGCUGGAGAAUUGAGGGGGGCUGCUCCUAGUACGAGAGGACCGGAGUGGACGCAUCACUGGUGUUCGGGUUGUCAUGCCAAUGGCACUGCCCGGUAGCUAAAUGCGGAAGAGAUAAGUGCUGAAAGCAUCUAAGCACGAAACUUGCCCCGAGAUGAGUUCUCCCUGAGACUUUAAGUCUCCUGAAGGAACGUUGAAGACGACGACGUUGAUAGGUCGGGUGUGUAAGCGCAGCGAUGCGUUGAGCUAACCGAUACUAAUGAACCGUGAGGCUUAACCUU